rnacentral:rRNA from 1 species
UAGGGAAUCUUCGGCAAUGGGGGCAACCCUGACCGAGCAACGCCGCGUGAGUGAAGAAGGUUUUCGGAUCGUAAAGCUCUGUUGUAAGAGAAGAACGUGUGUGAGAGUGGAAAGUUCACACAGUGACGGUAACUUACCAGAAAGGGACGGCUAACUACGUGCCAGCAGCCGCGGUAAUACGUAGGUCCCGAGCGUUGUCCGGAUUUAUUGGGCGUAAAGCGAGCGCAGGCGGUUUAAUAAGUCUGAAGUUAAAGGCAGUGGCUUAACCAUUGUUCGCUUUGGAAACUGUUAAACUUGAGUACAGAAGGGGAGAGUGGAAUUCCAUGUGUAGCGGUGAAAUGCGUAGAUAUAUGGAGGAACACCGGUGGCGAAAGCGGCUCUCUGGUCUGUAACUGACGCUGAGGCUCGAAAGCGUGGGGAGCAAACAGG